AUCAUGUAGAGUUUGAUCCUGGCUCAGGAUGAACGCUAGCGGCAGGCCUAACACAUGCAAGUCGAGGGGCAGCACGUAAAGUAGCAAUACUUUUGGUGGCGACCGGCGGACGGG
rnacentral:rRNA from 1 species